GGCAAACGUUCACCAGCAAUGGCCCCUUGAACAAUGGAGAAGGUCCUCUUCAGCCCACAAAAUAAAAUAAGGUUGAGCAGUGAGAUAAGAAAAGCACGUCUGUGUUGUCGAUUCCCACGGACCAUGGUGAAGAGAUGAGAGCAUAGAGCCAAGGUUGUCUCAUCUUGACGGUAACCUCGGAUGACUGUAUCUUUGGAUCCAGUGAUGGCCUGCUGCACCUGAUCUUCUUGCUUUGAGGUGUUCUUCCCUGAAGAAACAAG